rnacentral:lncRNA from 12 species
AUAGAAGAAAAAACAUGGAGGGGGUUAGGGAAGAAGAGGAAGCUAUGGAAACUCCCUGUACAGCUGUACUGCCAGCAUACCAGUUGGAGCACUGCUGCAGCUUUGCGGUGAGCAUUGACCCUGCAUCAUGUAGGCAGCUGAAUUAAAUACAUCCUGUCACUGUACCCACCUAAACUGACAUUGUGACAGGGGUGACAUGGCUGUGCCUUGGCAGCCACAUGAUAUGAUAUAUGAUAUAUAAAUGAUAUUGCAGCAAAGACACACCACUGUAAAGGACAAAGCACAUUGAGUUAAACCUCAAGCCAGG